GACGAACGCUGGCGGCGUGCUUAACACAUGCAAGUCGAACGAUGAACCCGGAGCUUGCUCCGGUGGAUUAGUGGCGAGCGGGUGAGUAACACGUGAGUAACCUGCCCUUGACUCUGGGAUAACUGCGGGAAACUGUAGCUAAUACCGGAUACGACCCUCGGCGGCAUCGCCAGGGGGUGGAAAGAAUUUCGGUCAAGGAUGGACUCGCGGCCUAUCAGCUAGUUGGUGAGGUAACGGCUCACCAAGGCGACGACGGGUAGCCGGCCUGAGAGGGUGACCGGCCACACUGGGACUGAGACACGGCCCAGACUCCUACGGGAGGCAGCAGUGGGGAAUAUUGCAGAAUGGGCGCAAGCCUGAUGCAGCAACGCCGCGUGAGGGAUGACGGCCUUCGGGUUGUAAACCUCUUUUAGUAGGGAAGAAGCGAAAGUGACGGUACCUGCAGAAAAAGCACCGGCUAACUACGUGCCAGCCGCCGCGGUAA
rnacentral:rRNA from 1 species